rnacentral:ncRNA from 1 species
CCCCCUGAAUUUAAGCAUAUUAAUUAGGAGAGGAAAAGAAACUAACAAGGAUUUUCUUAGUAGCGGCGAGCGAAAAGAAAUUAGUUCAGCACUAAGUCACUUUGUCUAUAUAGCAAAUGUGAGAUUCAGUGUACGGAACAUCAACAUUCUAGUAUGCGAAGUUAACGAUUUAAGUCCUUCUUAAAUGAGGCCAUUUAUCCAAAGAGGGUUCCAGGCCCGUAUAACGUUAAUGAUUACUAGAUGGUGUUUCCAAAGAGUCGUGUUGCUUGAUAGUGCAGCACUAAGUGGGUGGUAAACUCCAUCUAAAACUAAAUAUAACCAUGAGACCGAUAGUAAACAAGUACCGUGAGGGAAAGUUGAAAAUAACUCUGAAUAGAGAGUUAAAUAGUACGUGAAACUGCUUAGAGGUUAUGCCCGAUGAACCUGAAUAUCCGGUAUGGAAAAUUCAUCAUUAGAAUUAUAAUAUUUUAAACAAUAUUAUAAUAGUAGUGUGCAUUUUUUCCAUAUAAGGACAUUGUAAUCUAUUAGCAUAAAUAUUUAUCAUAAAAUUAUGUCUGAUUGCUUAUUUGAAUUAUAUGCUUGGCAUUUUAACAUAAAAUAAAACAUAUAAAUUUGAUAAAGUGCUGAUAGAUUCAUAUGAUUAC